CAGGCGCAAGAUGACUGCGGAAUGUGGCGCCAAAUCCCGGCGUUCGGCGACUGGAACAUGUGGGAGGAGAUGCCCGUCACCCAGUACUUCGAGCCGGCGGCCACCUUCUUCUUCACGGCGCAGGCAGGGGAAGACGACGUCGACCUCUUCAAGGUGCCCCACUUCGCCGCCAACCCCUACACCUACAAGAAGUGCGUCGUCCGAGUGAAGAAGGGGGAGGAGAACGAGAAGCAGAACGCAAACUCCGGUGCCGGUGCUGUGCCCGGGAGGAGGAAGAAGGGGGGCAGGAAGCAGCAGCAGCAGCAGCAGCAAGCGGCGGUGGACGAGGACCUCUACAAGAUCUCCCCCAACGUCAUCUGCAAGGUGCAGAAGAAGAAGUUGCUGAGGAACCUGCUGGGAGGGUGCCUGGGCCUCAACUGCAUCGCCUGA
rnacentral:rRNA from 1 species